rnacentral:lncRNA from 1 species
CUCUUUACUGGGGCCAAUGGGCAAUGUCUGGAAACAUGUUUGCUUGUCACAGUGGUGUCUAGUGAGCAAAAGCCCAGGAUGUCCCUGAGUAUCUUACAGUGCCCAGGACAGCAGCUCCUGCCUGACAAAGCGCUAUCCUGACCUCCAAUAGUUGAAGGCCCAGAGACCCUGCCCCAGCGAGGAGCUCCUCUCCAACAGUCCUGGCUGGGAACAUUAGAAGGGACCGAGGCGGCGAGAUGUCUAAAAUAGGAAGACGCCGGGGAUGCUUGGCCUGGCUGCCCGCGAUGCUGGCUGCAGGGAUCUGGCCGGGCUGUGCAGAUGGAAAAGCUAAGAGGCCUAAAAGUCGUGGAAUCAGCUGACCAUGGACUGAAACCUCUGAAACCAUGAG